AGGACGAGGAGGAGGAGGAAUGAUUCUGCGGGCAGUCUGCCAGAUUGGCAAUUUGAAACGCACUGUCUGUGACGGCUGCUGAGGCUGCUGCGGGGGAGUGAAGGGCUGUCAUGACGAUGACCCCUGGAGGAACCUGGAUGGAACUGUAGGACAACUUUUACCAUGAGAGAGAAAUGCCAGAGACAAAAAGACAGAUAUCAUUCGCGUACUCUCACUCAGCUGGUGAAAAUAGGACAUAUUGCCUUUGCUUCCUUCCGAAUAUGUUCAAGCACAAAAGCAUCGCACUGUGACACAGCACACGGUGUUCUCCAGCUGAUUCACCGGCAAUUGAACUCCUGUAUUUGGGGGGAAGUGAUGUAGUCCAGCUUCAUGAUGUGGAAAUGUAAGAAGUCUCAUUCUUCACGGCAAGGACAACAGAUCCUUGCAGGAAUACGGUAUCUGGGAGAAGAAUCCUAAUUGACUUGCUCCACCGGUGGUGGAGAUACUGUUCCAAGAGAGCACCACUAGUUCUUAGAACAGCAUUCUUGAAAGUUGGUGCAUCGACAUCAGAUCAUCACAGUGCAGUUCGGGAACUUCUUCACGAGCAUGUGGACGUCAGACGACAGCUUGCAGGAACUGGUUUUCUUCUUCUACCAUGUGGGUUCCAGGAGUAGCACUCAGGCAGUCAGGCUUGGUGGGAAGCUGAGCCAUCGCACUUGCUCUAUUUAAGGUCAUUUUUCAAAUAUGACUUUUUUUUAGGUUGAAUUCUCUUCUCAUUUUGAUAGAAUGAAGAAUGCCUAGACCAAUAAUAUUAAAUUAUAACUAACUUUGCAAUUCAUAAUGAUAACUAUAACAGCAAAGAGCUGGUAAAAAGAUUAGCUGCUAAUUCUUUUCUUGAAUCCAUCCAAAAAACUCAUUAGUUAUAAUAGCUAACAUUUCUCAAGUGCUUGCUAUAUUAGAGGCUGGGUUUUAAGUGAUUCAUACGUACCACGGUAUUCAUUCAUUACAACCACGCAAUGAAGAACACAGACAUCAGACUCCAGGUUCCAGUUUCUUAAUCACCAACCUUAUAUCUCUGCAUUUGACCGGUAUCGUUGUUAAUUACAAGAAGUAAUUAAUAAAGAAAGGGUUCUAAAAGAUGAGCUCUUCCAGCUCUCCCAAAACAGGGAAAAUCAGGCCCCUCUACAACAUCCCUGGAAGGUUUUCACUCAGCUGUGGUGAGCUGUCAGUUUCGAAAUUCAGCCGCUGUUCAACAUGGUCAGGCUGAGCCAGCAUCAGCUCAGAGUGGGAUCAAAGCAAGAUGCAAGGGGUUUCCAGGCAACUACGAGGUAGCCUUGACCUAACAGCCUCAGCACUCAUCUUGUUCUUUUCCUGGUUUUCUCAUACAAAUCUUUCCUGCCCCUCUCAAGCAUCUUCUUGCUUCACGAGAUAAAAGAAGAAUUAAAGCCUGUUUCCCAAGGCCAGAAAUAAGCUACCUUUACAAGUUGAUAUCCUCUUAUUGUUUACUUAAAUUCCCACCCUUCCAGUUCUUAAGCAAAUGAAGGUUGUGUGCUUUCAGAAAGUAAAUUAAAAUCGUGUUCUCUUCUAUUUACUUGUCAUUCUGGAAAACCUGAGCUUCCCUUUGAGGGAAAAAAAAUAAAACAAAACAAAAACUAUUUUUUUUUUUUUGAGAAGCCAGGGUCAAGAGUUCCUUUCUCACUUCUCCUCUCAGCUGGAGAACCGCGGUCCCUCUUCACUGGGCUCCCCCUUCAGCGGCAGCAGCACCAGCAGCAGGUGAUUGUGGCCUCAGUCAAGCACCAAGGACAAGGGGUUCCUCAUUUCCUCAUGCUGCUUUCCGUGCAGGUAAAAUGAAAAAUCAAAUCCUUUCCUGUCUCUGCAUAGCCGUCCUUUCUGAACAUGGCAUUAACUUCCACAAAAGAGCCUGGUGGCAAAGGGGGUGAUUAGCUAGAUAGGCUCUAACAGCUGGGCUCCGGGAGACUGAAGUGAGGUGGAGGAGGGGCCCUCGCGGGUCCCGGGUCUGGUAGCUCCAUCAACACAGCAGCAGCGGCAGCAGAUGAAAAGCUUCCAGAGGUGGGGGCAGGGGAGAGCCCAGAUUGUAAACAUCUCUUGCCUGUUGCCUGGAAGCGGUGGCUGCAAACAAUCUAAAGACUGCGCCUAGAUUUUCAGAAAUUUUCCUUUCUAUGCAAAGCUCCGCUUCUUUUUAAAAUAUGCAGCCAUUUUACCAGGUCACCAUCAUCGAACACGCAGUGAAGCAUACUUCACAGAACCUUCCCUCCACCACGUGUAAUUGCUCACCUAAAGUGGUCAACUAUUGUUUAGCAAAACCUUGUUAACGUUCGGACGUUAAUCCUAUGGCUUAAAAAAAAAAAAUUAAACCUUGUAACGGAUGGUCUACAGGAAGCACUGGUAUUUGUAAUGAUCGACAGAAAUUUUAAAAUGUUCAUUAUUGGUUUGUGGUGCAGUUUACUGAAUAACAUGUUUUUCAGUUAUGCUGUGAUGGGCAACAAGUAUUUGGUAUUAUAAAUUAGUGAAAUGUGUGGUAAGAGCAAUGCUAUAGCUUUUUGGUGGGAAGGAAUGAACUACUAAAUAUUACGUGUGUGCAAGUUGGUGUCACAUAAACACUCACAAAGGGAGGGGAGGAGGGGAGAAGAAAAGGAAGGAGAACAUGUAGGAAAAGGGCACGGUGGUAAUAGUGGAAGAUUUUAAUUACCUCAGUAUAGAACAGGAUUACAUCAAGUAGAGGAAAUAAGGCUGGGUCUGAUGCCAAGCUGAUUUCCAAUUUAACGUGCACAUCACCCGAAAAGGAAGGAAAGAGUGCUGGGUUUAAGAUUAAAUAAUACUUGGAACUCAAAGGAAAGAGAGGAUAUAGGAAGCAGUGAUUAAAUCACAUUAAGCAUAUGAUUUAAUCUCAAAUAGAAGCCAGAGGUAUUUAGAGUCAACAUGGAAAUUUAGGAAGACAGGAAAGUAAAAUACAGCAUAUAAUCAUUGAUUCAGGAAAAAAAAAAAAAAAGACAAACCAUCAAAUUAAGGCCAGGGUAAAAAGCAGGGAAGUGGUUUUUAAAACCCAGCACCACUCCGAAUGCCAGUGUUACCAAUAAGUGGUAAAUGUGUUUAGCGUUUUACUACAUCAGUGAAAAUGAACGCUUCUACAAUGACGCAGCAAAGAAAAGACUCCUCUUCCCUUUUCCACGAUUCAAAAUUUUUAAAGGAAUAGAAAAUAAAAUCUUCUCUGCUUGGAAAGGAACUCUGGAAAGAGCUGAGGGUAGAAAGAAGAGCAAAAAAGUGAGCAGAUCUGAGGGAAAACGUAUGCAUGACAUUAAAAGCCUACAAUCCAGCAAGGCAGCUAUGGGGCCAUUAAGGGGAUGAGGGGAAGUCAGUGACAGAUGAGUCUGCCUUGCUGAGAGGCUGAGUGAAUCCUCUGCCUGUGUAUUUAACGAAGCAACUGAAGGUCACAUCCUGGAAACUGGGAUACGUCUUCUGGAGGGGAAAAAAAGUGAAAUGUUAAAAGGAUUUUAUGAUCGGGUAAGAGCAGAUAGUUGGGCAAUUAGAACUAUUAGAAAUUGACAUGGCACAAGGCCCGGGUUAAGCAUGUCACAGAAAGCAGGCAGAAGUGCUAAGGAAACAGGAAAUGCCUCCUGCAGCCUUUCUUCUUAGCUCGCUCAAGGGGCUGAAGAACUGGAGAUGUUAAUAGUUGCUCCGGCACAUUGAAAAGAAAUCCCAAGAACCUUUCAGAAUCUGCUUAGCAAUAAUCUGAAUCAUGCCUGGAAAGCAGAUAGCACUGGCCCUUGCUUUACCACCUAGAGACAUGCACAGUCUGCUAAGAAUGAACGUUAGCUUGAGAAUUGAGAAUAAUUGAGCGCACAUGAACAAAUCUACAGAGGUGAGCGUAGAAGUUGGUCAGUGUUUCUAAAGCUCUUGCUGUAGACUGCUCCUCUAAAACUUGCUGCAUUAAAUGAGGCAGGAGAAUAAACAAGAGUAAGCCUGCACUGCUCCUAGACUUAAAAAAAAAAAAAAAGUAUGCAAGUGAAAUUAAA